CCUACGGGAGGCAGCAGUGGGGGAUAUUGCACAAUGGGGGAAACCCUGAUGCAGCGACGCCGCGUGUGGGAAGACGGUCCUCUGGAUUGUAAACCACUUUCCCCAGGGACGAAGAUGACGGUACCUGGGGAGGAAGCUCCGGCUAACUACGUGCCAGCAGCCGCGGUAAUACGUAGGGAGCGAGCGUUGUCCGGAAUUACUGGGUGUAAAGGGAGCGUAGGCGGGACUGCAAGUUGGGUGUCAAAUCUACGGGCUCAACCGGUAGCCGCACUUAAAACUGCAGUUCUUGAGUGAAGUAGAGGCAGGCGGAAUUCCUAGUGUAGCGGUGAAAUGCGUAGAUAUUAGGAGGAACACCAGUGGCGAAGGCGGCCUGCUGGGCUUUUACUGACGCUGAGGCUCGAAAGUGUGGGGAGCAAACAGGAUUAGAUACCCUGGUAGUC
rnacentral:rRNA from 1 species